AUGCCUAUGCAUUCGAAGAUGACAUUGUAUACCGUUGGGCAAUCAACCACCAGGAAGUUAGUGGUAAUGGUAGCUAUGUAAGGACCUGUACCAAUGGUGAAAGGUAAGUGUAUGCUCCCCAAAGGUUGCAUGAUAUCACCGGAAAAGCUUAUCAGAGGGGAAAUCGAGCGGUCGAGCAAGUGUUCAGCUACAUUAAGUGCCUUGAAAGCUUCAGCAAACAUGAUAUUAACCGAAACCCCCAUGUCUACCAGGAUUCAUCAUACUUCAAAGUUGGCUAUGUGAGCUUCCACGAUCAGUGGGUCGUUGUGAGGGUAGAUGAUACCUCUUUCUUCCUCAGGGUAGAAAAAUAUUGGAUCCCAGUUGGGCUUUUGAUACUUACCUCCCUUGAUGUCUUCCACGUGAAACACUUGGUGGCCAGACCUUAAAGCUCGUUCACUAUUUUUCAUGGCCCUAUUGGAAGAUUUAGAUAUGGGUGUGCCACCACUUAUGGAAUAUAUCACAUUUACCUGGCGUUGGUUACGGUUACCCCUUGGAGGGUGAAGGAGGAAUUGAUCAAUUUUUCCUUCACGUGCCAAAGCUUCAAUAUGAUCACGAAUGGUGGUACACUUCUCGCCAUCAUGGCCAUUAUGCUCGUGGUAGUAGCAAAACGUGCCCGUGUUCUUCGUGGGCUUGUAUUCCGGGUGCUUCGGCUUUU
rnacentral:lncRNA from 1 species